rnacentral:rRNA from 1 species
AUUGAACGCUGGCGGCAUGCUUUACACAUGCAAGUCGAACGGUAACAGGCCUUCGGGUGCUGACGAGUGGCGAACGGGUGAGUAAUGCAUCGGAACGUACCCAGAGGUGGGGGAUAACGCAGCGAAAGCUGUGCUAAUACCGCAUGUGAUCUGAGGAUGAAAGCGGGGGACCGAGCAGCAAUGUUUGGCCUCGCGCCUUUGGAGCGGCCGAUGUCGGAUUAGCUAGUUGGUGGGGUAAAGGCCUACCAAGGCGACGAUCCGUAGCUGGUCUGAGAGGACGGCCAGCCACACUGGGACUGAGACACGGCCCAGACUCCUACAGGAGGCAGCAGUGGGGAAUUUUGGACAAUGGGCGCAAGCCUGAUCCAGCAAUACCGCGUGCGGGAAGAAGGCCUUCGGGUUGUAAACCGCUUUUGGCAUGAACGAAACGGUGUCCGCUAAUACCGGGCGCUAAUGACGGUACCUGCAGAAUAAGCACCGGCUAACUACGUG